GUGUUCACUUCGGCAGCACAUAUACCAAGAUUGGAACGAUACAGAGAUUAGCAUGGCCCCUUAGGAAGGAAGACACACAAAUUCGUGAAGUGUUCCAUAUUAAA
ensembl:snRNA U6 U6 spliceosomal RNA